CGAUGAUGAAACCCAUCCAAGAGCCUGAUGACAGCUGGGAGGUGCUGACCCUGCCAACAUGCAGAUGGAUGCAAUGAACCAAACCCAUGUCCCACUGCCACAGCAGUGGGUCACAAGGAAUCAGCAGCACUUGGGGGCAGUAGCACAGCUUCACCUGGCCUCUCCUCCUCCAUGAAGACGAACUCAGCUCGUUUUCUUUCAGAAGAUAGAGAAAGAAAAAAAAAAGAGGCAAAGCAAACACCUCGGCCUUUGUUUGGGCAGAAAACAGCCGCAGCCCACUCAGAUGGAAUUUAUUUUGCGCUCGGUAAUUCAAUCCAUUCAGGCUCAGGAUGUGGCUGGGAGAGCUGAGCCAAAAAAUGCAAGUUUAAAGCAACUAAAUGUUAUGCUGUGUAUACAGUUGAGUUUGGGUUUGGCCGAGGCGAGAAGUUUCCAUGUUUUUUUGCAAUUUCUGUUGUAGCAACGAACUCCUUGUGCAAUGGAGGGGCUGGAACUGUGGCCGGAGAGAGGGGCUCAAGAGGAAUGGACUCAUGUGGUCUCAGUGCAAUGGGAUGAGGCACGUUCUCUUUGCUGAAGUGUACUUUUUGCUGCCGUUGGCAUUUAUCAGCAUGUUGAAAGCCAUUCUCCCUUGUCCUACCUGGUCACAGCCACCACCACCUCCAUGGCCGUGUGUCCCACCCCGUGUAACAGAACAUCUCCGCAGGCUGGCCCCUAAACUGUUAACACAUUAAUUACGAGAAGAAAGAGGAGUCAGUCCCAUU
ensembl:lncRNA